CCUACGGGGGGCAGCAGUGGGGAAUAUUGCACAAUGGGCGAAAGCCUGAUGCAGCAACGCCGCGUGAAGGAAGAAGGGUUUCGGCUUGUAAACUUCUAUCAACAGGGACGAAAGAAAUGACGGUACCUGAAUAAGAAGCCACGGCUAACUACGUGCCAGCAGCCGCGGUAAUACGUAGGGGGCAAGCGUUAUCCGGAUUUACUGGGUGUAAAGGGCGUGUAGGCGGGAAAGUAAGUCAGAUGUGAAAGCCAUGGGCUUAACCCGAGGAUUGCAUUUGAAACUAUGGUGCUAGAGUACGGGAGAGGAAGGCGGAAUUCCUAGUGUAGCGGUGAAAUGCGUAGAUAUUAGGAGGAACACCAGUGGCGAAGGCGGCUUUCUGGACAGAAACUGACGCUGAGGCGCGAAAGCGUGGGGAGCAAACAGGAUUAGAUACCCGGGUAGUC
rnacentral:rRNA from 1 species